AAGGAAGGUCAGGGAGGCCUCCUUAGGGGUCAUUGAAGUUGGGACCCAAACGAGGAGAAGGAAGAAGCCAUGUGAAGGUUUGAAGAGAGUAUUCCAAACGCUUCUGUAAAUAUAAAGACUGAGAGAGGAGAGAGCGUGCCCAGUCAAGGAAGAGAAGGUGGCCAGAGCAAGGGUUCAAAAGAAUGGGGCUACACAGCUGGAUGAACAAUGGCACCAACUUCUGAUGCGGAGGUAGUUUCAGGAAAGGGGAUAAAGUGGGAAGAUGAAGAAUCCAGAGACGAGAGAUCCAUUUUGCCCUAUAAAGUCUGACCUAUCCAUUGGACACUCAGGAGGAUGUCUCAAGUAUGCGAUCACGUACAGAAUUGCAGAGAAAAGACCCAG
rnacentral:lncRNA from 1 species